GAUGAACGCUAGCUACAGGCUUAACACAUGCAAGUCGAGGGGCAGCAUGGUCUUAGCUUGCUAAGGCCGAUGGCGACCGGCGCACGGGUGAGUAACACGUAUCCAACCUGCCGUCUACUCUUGGACAGCCUUCUGAAAGGAAGAUUAAUACAAGAUGGCAUCAUGAGUCCGCAUGUUCACAUGAUUAAAGGUAUUCCGGUAGACGAUGGGGAUGCGUUCCAUUAGAUAGUAGGCGGGGUAACGGCCCACCUAGUCUUCGAUGGAUAGGGGUUCUGAGAGGAAGGUCCCCAACAUUGGAACUGAGACACGGUCCAAACUCCUACGGGAGGCAGCAGUGAGGAAUAUUGGUCAAUGGGCGCAGGCCUGAACCAGCCAAGUAGCGUGAAGGAUGACUGCCCUAUGGGUGGUAAACUUCUUUUAUAAAGGAAUAAAGUCGGGUAUGGAUACCCGUUUGCAUGUACUUUAUGAAUAAGGAUCGGCUAACUCCGUG
rnacentral:rRNA from 1 species